AAAUUGAAGAGUUUGAUCAUGGCUCAGAUUGAACGCUGGCGGCAGGCCUAACACAUGCAAGUCGAACGGUAACAGAAAGCAGCUUGCUGCUUUGCUGACGAGUGGCGGACGGGUGAGUAAUGUCUGGGAAACUGCCUGAUGGAGGGGGAUAACUACUGGAAACGGUAGCUAAUACCGCAUAACGUCGCAAGACCAAAGAGGGGGACCUUCGGGCCUCUUGCCAUCGGAUGUGCCCAGAUGGGAUUAGCUAGUAGGUGGGGUAACGGCUCACCUAGGCGACGAUCCCUAGCUGGUCUGAGAGGAUG
rnacentral:rRNA from 1 species